UACAGAGGGGGCAAGCGUUGUUCGGAAUUACUGGGCGUAAAGGGCGCGUAGGCGGCCUGUUAAGUCGAACGUGAAAUCCCCGGGCUCAACCCGGGAACUGCGUCCGAUACUGGCAGGCUCGAAUCCGGGAGAGGGAUGCGGAAUUCCAGGUGUAGCGGUGAAAUGCGUAGAUAUCUGGAGGAACACCGGUGGCGAAGGCGGCAUCCUGGACCGGCAUUGACGCUGAGGCGCGAAAAGCCAGGGGA
rnacentral:rRNA from 1 species